UUUUAAAUGGCCGCAGUAUUUUGACUGUGCAAAGGUAGCAUAAUCAUUAGUUUUUUAAUUAAAAGCUUGUAUGAAAGGCUGGACGAGGUAAAAUCUGUCUCUAUUUAAAUUAUAAUAGAAUUUAACUUUUAAGUUAAAAGGCUUAAAUAUUAUUAAAAGACGAGAAGACCCUAUAGAUCUUUAUAAUUUAUUAAAUUAAAUUAAUUUAGAAGUAUUUAUGUUUUAUUUAAUUAAAUUAUUUUAUUGGGGUAAUAAAAAGAUUGUAUUAAUUCUUUUUUUCAAUAAACAUUAAUUUAUGAAUAUUAAUGAUCCAGUUUUACUGAUUAUAAGAUUAAGUUACCUUAGGGAUAACAGCGUAAUUUUUUUAGAGAGUUCAUAUCGAUAAAAAAGUUUGCGACCUCGAUGUUGGAUUAAAGAUUAUUUUAGGUGUAGAAGCUUAAUAAUUUUGGUCUGUUCGACCAUUAAAUCUUUACAUGAUCUGAGUUCAGACCGGCGUAAGCCAGGUCGGUUUCUAUCUUUAAUAAAACAAAAUAUUUUAGUACGAAAGGACCAAAUAUUUGAUAUAUUUAUAUUUAAUUUAUUGAAUAUUA
rnacentral:rRNA from 1 species